GGGAGGCAGCAGUAGGGAUCUUUCCGCAAUGGACGAAAGUCUGACGGAGCAACGCCGCGUGAGUGAUGAAGGUUUUCGGAUCGUAAAGCUCUGUUGUUAGGGAAGAACAAGUGCGAGAGUAACUGCUCGCACCUUGACGGUACCUACCAGAAAGCCACGGCUAACUACGUGCCAGCAGCCGCGGUAAUACGUAGGUGGCAAGCGUUGUCCGGAAUUAUUGGGCGUAAAGGGCUCGCAGGCGGUUUCUUAAGUCUGAUGUGAAAGCCCCCGGCCAACCGGGGAGGGUCAUUGGAAACUGGGAAACUUGAGUGCAGAAGAGGAGAGUGGAAUUCCACGUGUAGCGGUGAAAUGCGUAGAGAUGUGGAGGAACACCAGUGGCGAGCGACUCUCUGGUCUGUAUGACGCUGAGGAGCGAAAGCGUGGGGAGCGAACAGGAUUAGAUACCCUGGUAGUCCACGCCGUAAACGAUGAGUGCUAAGUGUUAGGGGGUUUCCGCCCCUUAGUGCUGCAGCUAACGCAUUAAGCAUCCGCCUGGGGAGUACGGUCGCAAGACUGAAACUCAAAGGAAUUGACGGGGGCCCGCACAAGCGGUGGAGCAUGUGGUUUAAUUCGAAGCAACGCGAAGAACCUUACCAGGUCUUGACAUCCUCUGAAACCCUAGAGAUAGGGCUUUCCCUUCGGGGACAGAGUGACAGGUGGUGCAUGGUUGUCGUCAGCUCGUGUCGUGAGAUGUUGGGUUAAGUCCCGCAACGAGCGCAACCCUUGAUCUUAGUUGCCAGCUUUAGUUGGGCACUCUAAGGUGACUGCCGGUGACAAACCGGAGGAAGGUGGGGAUGACGUCAAAUCAUCAUGCCCCUUAUGACCUGGGCUACACACGUGCUACAAUGGACAGAACAAAGGGCUGCAAACCGCAAGGUUUAGCCAAUCCCAUAAAUCUGUUCUCAGUUCGGAUCGCAGUCUGCAACUCGACUGCGUGAAGCUGGAAUCGCUAGUAAUCGCGGAUCAGCAUGCCGCGGUGAAUACGUUCCCGGGCC
rnacentral:rRNA from 1 species